rnacentral:rRNA from 1 species
UUAUACCACGUAGGCCUCAAGUGA